AGUGAACGCUGGCGGUAGGCCUAACACAUGCAAGUCGAACGGCAGCACAGUAAGAGCUUGCUCUUACGGGUGGCGAGUGCCGGACGGGUGAGGAAUACAUCGGAAUCUACUUUUUCGUGGGGGAUAACGUAGGGAAACUUACGCUAAUACCGCAUACGACCUACGGGUGAAAGCAGGGGAUCUUCGGACCUUGCGCGAUUGAGUGAGCCGAUGUCGGAUUAGCUAGUUGGCGGGGUAAAGGCCCGCCAAGGCGACGAUCCGUAGCUGGUCUGAGAGGAUGAUCAGCCACACUGGAACUGAGACACGGUCCAGACUCCUACGGGAGGCAGCAGUGGGGAAUAUUGGACAAUGGGCGCAAGCCUGAUCCAGCCAUACCGCGUGGGUGAAGAAGGCCUUCGGGUUGUAAAGCCCUUUUGUUGGGAAAGAAAAGCAGCAGGUUAAUACCCCGCUGUUCUGACGGUACCCAAAGAAUAAGCACCGGCUAACUUCGUG
rnacentral:rRNA from 1 species